UACUGGAAUGAGGGAUUGGGUGGGAGCGGAUAGAAUGGAGGGAUUGGAUUUUAGAGGAAACAUCAAAUAAGAUGGUUGUUCAAAUCCUGUCCGGGGAGCGGGAAUUGGAUGACCAUCUUCGAAUGUUGCGCUCCAUCCAAAGGUGGUUAAUAGUAGUGGAGAAGGCUGACUUACCAAUAGUAUCACAAAUGGAGGAUACAACAAAGGUCAUGUCAACCCAAAUCUAUUCCCUAUAAAAAGGGAGAAUUGGCCUGCUAGAAGGCCAGCAACGAGUCCAGUCCAGUUUUGUGUUUGUUUCCUAGUCAAUUUAUGUUACCUCAUUAAUUAAGGAUUCAGGUAGGCCUUUCCAUUUUAGUAUUUGAGGCCGUUUUUGAGUAUUCUAUGUAAGUUUGUAAUGGGGUUGUAUACGAAUUUGAUUAAUGAGAUUUUUGUCCUGGGCCUUUUUUUUUUUUUUUAAUUUUGUGAGAUUUAGUCUUUGUGGGAUUCAGUGCUAUGUGGUGGGAUAUCAUUAAUGGCUGGUGAGAUUCUAGUAGAGGCUAGGUGGGAUGCUUAGUCAUAUCUUCUUCUCCAUCAAUAUUCAAGUAAGUACUCCAUUGUUUUCCGCAAUUCCAUAUCCUGUCCAACGAUUUCUAUACAAGUGCUUUUUUCUCCCAUUAAUAUCGACGUUGGCUGUUAAGGCAGAUCUGACCAGUAAAUCAUCCCCAUCUUUUGGGGCAUUCAAGACCUCCCUAAGAGAGGCCUUCGACCAUAACUUGACUCAGAUUAAGUCUGCUGAUCUGGCGUAAUUUUAAAUCUUCCCAUUCUGCCUUUUUAUUUUUCCAGAAUUGUUAUUUGUUUAAUUAAUCCUAUACAGUUAAUAACUUCUUAUUUAUCAUAUCAGUGUCGUAUCAUAUUGAUGCCUUGAAGAUGUGAUACGUAUCGGUUAGUAUCGGCGGAUAUGUUAGAAUACUCAAAUCCUUGCUUACAAAUCAUGUUUUGACAUAGCAUCCUUUGGCUCUGACACAUGCCAGAGUCCCUAUAGUGAAGCUGAUGGAUCCCGAAACUGGAACUUCCUGCGACAUUUGCAUAAAUAAUGUCUUGGCUGUUGUUAAUACAAAACUCCUUCGAGACUAUGCACAAAUAGAUGCCAGACUGCGACAAUUGGCUUUCAUUGUGAAACACUGGGCGAAGUCACGGGGUGUCAAUGAAAUGUAUCAGGGAACAUUAUCUAGUUAUGCAUAUGUUUUGAUGUGCAUUCACUUCUUACAACAGCGUAGGCCUGCUAUCCUUCCCUGUUUACAGGUAUUCAAUAUUUCAAUAUAAUAUUUAUUUUGGUUAUGUUUGAACCUUUGAAGAGCUGAGUUGUUUUACUUCAAUUUUCCAUGUGUCACACCUAAAUACCACUUUUAUUCUGUUCUGUUGAUGGAUUUUUUUUACCAGUACAAGUAUCUCUCUGGUAGAUUGUAAUGGUUUAACUGGUGCUAUAAAAUCUUUUUUACCGUUUGAUAAAGUCCUUGCUUCAUUACAGGGAUCAAGGCUUUGCUGUUGUUCUAGGCAGUCAUCACCUAAUCUGUUUCAGCAUUUAUUGUACUUUAGGAUAUCCCCCUUUAACUGUAUUAUUUGCUGCUGUUCAUCACUUUAUCUGUGAGAAUUGAGAAAAAGGGGGAAAAUGCUGUUUGUUUGUUAGUAGAGAACUUGC